AUUGAACGCUAGCGGGAUGCUUUACACAUGCACGUCGAACGGAGUGGCGGACGGGUGAGUAAUAUAUCGGAACGUGCCCAGUAGCGGCGGAUAACUACUCGCAACCGUGGCUAAUACCGAAUACUCUUGGAGCGGCCGAUAUCGGAUUAGCUAGUUGGUGGGGUAACGGCUCACCAAGGCCACGAUCCGUAGCUGGUUUGAGAGGACGACCAGCCACACUGGGAAUGAGACACGGCCCAGACUCCUACGGGAGGCAGCAGUGUGGAAUAUUGGACAAUGGGGGAAAGCCUGAUGCAGCCAUCCCGCGUGUAUGAUGAAGGCCUUCGGGUUGUAAAGUACUGUUGGCGGAGAAGCGGUAUCUGCAGAAUAAGCACCGGCUAACUACGUGCCAGCAGCCGCGGUAAUAC
rnacentral:rRNA from 1 species